UUAAAUUGAAGAGUUUGAUCAUGGCUCAGAUUGAACGCUGGCGGCAGGCCUAACACAUGCAAGUCGAACGGUAACAGGAAUCAGCUUGCUGAUUCGCUGACGAGUGGCGGACGGGUGAGUAAU
rnacentral:rRNA from 1 species